CACGUAGGGGGCAAGCGUUGUCCGGAAUUACUGGGCGUAAAGGGUGCGUAGGCGGCCAAAUAAGUCAGAUGUGAAAGUCCAGGGCUUAACCGUGGAAUCGCAUUUGAAACUGUAUGGCUUGAGUGCAGGAGAGGAGAGCGGAAUUCCUAGUGUAGUGGUGAAAUGCGUAGAUAUUAGGAAGAACACCAGUGGCGAAGGCGGCUCUCUGGACUGUAACUGACGCUGAGGCACGAAAGCGUGGGGAGCGAACAGGAUUAGAUACCCUGGUAGUCCACGCCGUAAACGAUGAGUGCUAGGUGUCGGGAGUCAAAUCUCGGUGGCGGAGUAAACACAAUAAGCACUCCGCCUGGGGAGUACGGUCGCAAGACUUAA
rnacentral:rRNA from 1 species